rnacentral:rRNA from 1 species
AUACGUAGGUGACAAGCGUUAUCCGGAUUUACUGGGCGUAAAGGGCGUGUAGGCGGACUUGCAAGUCAGAAGUGAAAUUCCUGAGCUCAACUGGGGCGUUGCUUCUGACACUGCAGGCCUUGAGUGCUGGAGGGGCUAGCGGAAUUCGUAGUGGAGCGGUAAAAUGCGCAUAUAUUAGGAAGAACACCGGUGGCGAAGGCGGCUAGCUGGACAGUAACUGACGCUGAGGCGCGAAAGCAUGGGGAGCAAACAGGAUUAGAUACCCUGGUAGUCCGCGCCGUAAACGAUGAAUACUAGGUGUAGGUGGUAUCGACUCCCUCUGUGCCGCAGUUAACACAAUAAGUGUUCCGCCUGGGGAGUACGGCCGCAAGGUUGAAACUCAAAGGAAUUGGCGGGG